CCCGUGUCUCCUCGCCAGGCAGCGAGGGCUGGCGGGGGGGGACUGAAGAAACCCACCUAGAGCUUCCCUCGCCCACCGCUUGGCUUCUCAGGCACGGGUUUUGAGACCUCCUAGGACCUCCUGAUGCGCAGCCCUGGGUGAGAAGAUUCAGCUCUAGGAACCCAGGCACCUCAACUGAUAUUCUCAGCAAGGAGCCUUCAGGGAGAUGAACAGCAUAUGUCUGGACAUCUGAGAUUUGGUUGUUGACAGUGGCAUGAAGUUUCAUUUGAAUUGCUGAGGAUGACAGAGUGACUGACUUUGCAAGGCAGCUGAAUCUUGGUCCAGUUUGAGGCCGAAGUCUGGAUUCUUAUGAACUUCCCUGGCACCAGGUUUCCAUCUGCUGGUUUUCUGGACCUGGCACAGCAAUUCUCAAGCACUGACAAGAGCAGCAACUCAUGACAGUUCAUGAAGACUUACUUUCAGCUGUUGGAUACACAGUGCUAAUAAUGUCUGUGCAGUCUCAGAGCCACAGCAGUACAGAAUGGAAUUCAGACAGCACCUUGGCUCCCCAGUGCUCCCAAAAUUGCAGAGCACUGUAAGCACAUAAUUGCACAGCUUUUUGAUAGUAGAAGACCAGCUACUUUUAUUCAGUGCACAUUAACAUUAAUCAGUUGUCUAGGUCUGGAUCAAUCUAUAGAACUGAAAUUACAGGGACAUUAGGAAGGUAAAUUAUGUUUAUUACAUGAGUGCCUAAGGCUGAGAAAGUAUGAGGCUCACCUCCACCAGACACUGUACUCCCUGCUCCAAAAAAGCUCAAAGCUGGAGAAAAGCAGCUUAAUGUAUAUGUAGAAGUGAAGGUUGCAAUUUGAUCGCAAGCGUAUAGGCUAUAUAAUAUUUUGGUGAUGUAAGACUAGUUAUGAGAAUACAAAUACAGGCUGACAGACUUGGGGCUGUUCAGCCUGGAGAAGGCUCUGGGGA